rnacentral:misc_RNA from 1 species
AAGUCGUAACAAGGUUUCCGUAGGUGAACCUGCGGAAGGAUCAUUAUGAAUCAGUAGCUUGCUACUAUGCUGGGGUAGACGGGAAAGUCCUAGCUGAAAAGCUAGAGUGCCGGUACCUGUACCCCUAUCAUACCCUUGUCUUUUUGAGUACUUAUGUUUCCUUGGUAGGCUUGCCUGCCAAAAGGACAAACUUGAAACCUAUUUAAAUAUCAAUCAGCGUCUGAAAAUAAAUUAAUGAAUUACAACUUUCAACAACGGAUCUCUUGGUUCUG